rnacentral:lncRNA from 1 species
UAAGUGUCGUCUGUUCUUAUUAGGCAACUUUUUAAAGACACAAUUACACGUUUACCCUUAUUGAUCCCACUUAAUUAAAAAAAAGAUAGACACAUUUUUGAUAAAAGAUAAUUUGGUAAACUUUACCAAGUCUUCCCUUUAUUCUUAAACUCCGUGCCCGAUCAAAUGGCGACACAUAAAUCAAAUAUGCAAAUUUGUAGCCGC